rfam:Triticum aestivum genome assembly, contig: Triticum_aestivum_CS42_TGACv1_scaffold_513237_6BS
GUAAUACUCCCUCCGUUCGAAAAUAUUUAUCAUCAAAAUGGACAAAAAGGGAUGUAUUUAGAACUAAAAUACAUCUAGAUACAUCCCCGUUUAUUCAUUUUGAUGACAAGUAUUUCCGGAUGGAGGGAGUACAAG